rnacentral:rRNA from 1 species
UACGAAGGGGGCUAGCGUUGCUCGGAAUCACUGGGCGUAAAGGGUGCGUAGGCGGGUCUUUAAGUCAGGGGUGAAGUCCUGGAGCUCAACUCCAGAACUGCCUUUGAUACUGAAGAUCUUGAGUUCGGGAGAGGUGAGUGGAACUGCGAGUGUAGAGGUGAAAUUCGUAGAUAUUCGCAAGAACACCAGUGGCGAAGGCGGCUCACUGGCCCGAUACUGACGCUGAGGAGCGAAAGCGUGGGGAGCAAACAGG